GGCCUAGUAGCGUAAUGGUUAACGCGUCAGAUUUCGGUCAACUGAAAUCACCAUCUCUGAAGAUUGGGAGUUCGAGUCUUCCCUGGGUCG